AUAUCAAUAAGCGGAGGACAAGAAACCAACAGGGAUUGCCUUAGUAACGGCGAGUGAAGCGGCAAAAGCUCAGAUUUGAAAUCUGGCGUCAUUUUGGCGUCCGAGUUGUAAUCUGUAGAGGAGUAUUCGAGUGUAGCUUUGGCUUAAGUUCCUUGGAACAGGGCGUCAUAGAGGGUGAGAACCCCGUUAACGGCCUUUGUCUUAUGCUCAUGUGAAUCUCCUUCAACGAGUCGAGUUGUUUGGGAAUGCAGCUCUAAAUGGGUGGUAAAUUCCAUCUAAAGCUAAAUACUGGCAAGAGACCGAUAGCGCACAAGUA
rnacentral:rRNA from 1 species